GUUUAGGGCUCUUUUAGCCCUCAGCGUAAAAGACAGUUUUGCUUGAUCUAGGAGACCAUUCUAGGAGCCCCUCAAGUGAGGUGAGGGGCUGAUUUGGGAUGGGUUUCAGAAGAAACUCUCCUCCUACUUUCUGUCUGAGGCUGGGCAGUUUCAAUGAUAGCAAUGUAUCGGCUAUCACGAGGAACCAUAGCUGUAAUUUUCCUUUCUUUAAAUUAAUUGGCUUUCAGCUAAUUGUAGACUAGCAGUGGCUAAGCAAGACCAGAAUCACUAUUACUUAUUAAAUUUGUAUACCUCCCUUCAUCCAUAGAUCUCAGGUUCAACAUCAUAGUCACAAAAGGAGAAUGUAACAGGGGCUGUGGCUUUCCUUGUACCAAACACCUUUCAGAAAUAUUGUAAUUUUUCCUAUAUUUGUUGGCUUUAAUGCCCAGGAUGGACUUUUAGGGAUAUAUUCAACUAAGUAGUUCCACACAUGUAAUACUGGUAGUACAAUGGGACUCCUCCCCCCCAACUCCUCUUAUCCUUCCUGUGUCAUUCGAAAUUGAGGGUUGGGAGAAACCCUAGGAUGGAUUUAGGGGGGCAUGGAGAGAAGAGAGGGGGAAAACAUUCAAUUGUGCAAGGAUAAAUCCUUCCACUGACAGUACUAGCCAUUUUGCCUAUGCGGAAUACAGCCAUUACCUUCUAAAUAAGAAUUUAAUAAUGUGCCUUUUGUUUCGUUGUAAAAAACCCCAACACAAAACCUGUCAAGUCUGUAGAUCAUAGCAGAACAGAAAUACGUAUAUAAUAUGGUGUUCACAGAGCUGAGCUAUCAGAGCCCAUGAAGCAUUCAUCUUUCAGGAACUAAUAUUAUUCAGCUAAUCUGUGCGUAGAUUAGAGGGUCAUAAACAGGGUGGUUGUUGAAGAUUGACACAUUCUGACGACAAAACCCUUACUCACCUGUGCAAACAGCCCCACAGACUCAGUUUGGAUUAGCAAUGUCAAUUUUGUGUGUGUUAACAGCUCUGGGGAUUAGGCGGAAAUUCUUCAGCGGGUCUCCUGUCAUUGACCUAAUUUAUCGCUUCACACACAACCGACCAAUUUCUCUUCUUGAGUGAGGCAUGAACAAGACCAUAUGCUUGAUAUUCCUUCUGUUUCUGAAAAGCUGGCUUCGUGCCCUCAUCUUACGCAAAACAUUUCUGGAAUUUCCCCAAGGAUAACAUCUGUGUUGCUGCCGCGUUUCCAACCGAGUGGAAAGGAGCAGCGCCCCAGCCGCUAAACCGAAAUGUUCUUACGCAUCGGGGUGAUCCAAAAGCAACAUAAAGUAGGAGAUUUGGUCUUAAUAACGACUGUGACAAAACAAAAGCUUACUUGUGUGAUAAAACAUGCUUACUCAGAUGGCAUUUUCCCCCACCUUACUUCAGAGACUUAGCUUUCACUCAGAUGUUAAAUGUGUAUCUGGCCUGUACCAGAUCAGACUUCGGGCUGGAGUUCAGAUGACUGAACGCUGCUCCAUACGAUGCUAUUUCCCACAAGUUGAGCUAAAUAAGGCUGCACAUAGUAAAGGUAAAGGGACCCCGACCAUUUGGUCCAGUCGUGACCGACUCUGGGGUUGCGGCGCUCAUCUCGCUUUACUGGCCGAGGGAGCCGGCGUACAGCUUCCGGGUCAUGUGGCCAGCAUGACUAAGCCGCUUCUGGCGAACCAGAGCAGCGCAUGGAAACGCCGUUUACCUUCCUGCCAGAGCGGUAUCUAUCUACUUGCACUUUGACGUGCUUUCAAACUGCUAGGUGGGCAGGAGCUGGGACUGAGCAACGGGAGCUCACCCCGUCACGGGGAUUCAAACCGCUGACCUUCUGAUCAGCAAGUCCUAGGCUCUGUGGUUUAACCCACAGCGCCACCCGUGUCCCUAAGGUUGCACAUACACAGCCUUUAAAACACACAGCAUCCCUCAAAGAAUCUUGGGAACUGUAGUUUAAAGGUGCUGUGAACAGUAGCUUGGCGAGGGUUAAAAUAUAGUUCCCAGGAUGCUUGAGGGUAAGCCAUAUGUACAUGUGCUGGGGAUUUGUUUGGCUUUUGAGUGGAGGGACAUUUAACCAUGAGAAACCCUACCUGUAGCUUGAAUGGGGUGGAUGAAACACUGGUUGACCACCUCAGUAUAAAGCAAAGGUUAAGUUACCGUAUUUUCGCUCUAUAGGAUGCACUUUCCCCCCUCCAAAAAUGAAGGGGAAAUGUGUGUGCGUCCUAUGGAGCAAAUGCAGGCUCCUUGGCUUCAGUGAUAGCAACGUGAAACCUCCGAAGUCCAGAGGGAGAGCUCCCCCCGCGCUCCUUGGCUUCACGUUGCUUUCGCUGAAGCUGCCGGAAGCCCCCGGAGCGCAGGGAACUCCCGCUACGCUCCGGGGGCUUCAGGCAGCUAUCCGCAAGCCUUCGGAGUUACUGCUGCGCUCCGAAGGCUUGCAGAUAGCCGCCUGAAGCCUGGAGAGUGAGAGGGGUCGGUGCACACCAAUCUCUCUUGCUCUCCAGACUUUGCUUCGCUGGAGAGGCGCUGCACAGUUUUCCCUCUCUGCGCAGCGCCCCUUCAGCGAAGCGGGAGGAGAAAUGGAAGGGGCUCCGUUUCUCCUCCCGCUUCGCUGAAGGGGCACUGAGCAGAGAGGGGGAGAAAUUUCCCCCCCUGUUCUCCCCCUCCUAUGGUCCGGUGCGUCCUAUGGUCCGGUGCGUCCUAUAGAGCGGUCUUGGGCUGGUUAACAUUCUAUGUCCUUUUAAAUGUGUUUGCAAGGGGGGGGGAUUGUUUUGUCCUUGUUCUUAUUGUGCAUUUUGUGUUUUUACAUUGCAUUUUUUUGCUGUGAAUGGCCCCAAGAUCUUCUGAGGAAGAGUGGCGUACAAAUUUAAUAAAUGAAUAAACAGAAUAAAAUACGCGUGAUUUCAGAUUAAAGCUUACAGUGCUAGACUGCAUAGUAAAAAUAAUAGAUCUCAUGCUUGCCAGCACCACACACACACACACACACACACACACACACACACACAAUCCCAUUGAUCCACAACACAGAUCCUGACAGGGAGCUCUAUCAUUUGUAUAUAAAGACAAGAAAACCAAUAGCAGUUCAUAGAACCUUUCUAUGUACACAGAGGUUGCUUAUGAUAUGAUGUGGUUUUAGGCAGAUCCCACAUUUAUUUAUGUAUUGUUUAAAAGAGGAUUCAUAAGGAUCCAUGCCUCGGAUCCAUAUCUUUGCACCAUGGCAGCACUGGAAAGUACCACAUUCGUGAAUGUCACAGUUAAGUCGAUGGAGACGGAUAGGCAGUUGGAAAAAAACCAACUGUUUAAGCAGAGGCUUGACAAUCAUAUGUCAGGAGUGCUCUGAUGGUGUUUCCUGCUUGGCAGGGGGUUGGACUCGAUGGCCCUUGUGGUCUCUUCCAACUCUAUGAUUCUAUGAUUCUAUGUGGUUUCAAGAGGAAUUUGAAGCAAGCACAAUCUACUGCCAACCAGUCUUCUCAGUUGCAAGAAAACAUUUAAUGUAGCCAUUGUAUGAUUGAAGGUCAAAAUGAGUUACAGGCAAAAUGCAGUCGCUUGGCUUCUAGAAAUAAUUGGCUCCGACGGUACAUUUUAGAAGAUAUACACGUACCGGCAAGGAAGUACAUCAAAAUAAAUGUCUAAGUGUGCUUUUGCCAUAUUAAUUAUACUCCCUGCUAGGAAUGCGUUUCCCCCUGAGAGGGGAAUCCACACAAUAGUUUCGGUACAAACAAUAGGCUGGAACAGCAAAACAUGAUACUGCGGAUUUGCAUAUGCGAACGGGCUUGACCUGUUUGAUACGGAACAGAUCAACACACCAUGGAUACAUGAAUGUAAUGCCCCGCCUGACUUCUGUCUUUUUAGUGGUGACAUAUAUAUUGGCCUUUAGGCUAGUCUUUUCAGAAAAUAAUAAGAAUAAAAGAUUGAGGCAAAUACUCUACAGCAGGGGUGUCCAACUUGGGGAAAUGAUCCUUUUGCAGGGCCUGCAAGACAGAGCUGUUCUGCCUGGCCUUUGGUCCAGGCCCAGUUUGACCCCACUCUAUGGGACCCUGUAAGUUACCUCUUUGGCUCUUUUAUCUUUUAUCAUGUGGGACUGUGAUAGGAAUUUUAUGCUCUUAGAUAUAUGGUAAUGUUCAUAAGUGUAUCAACCAAGCACGUACAUAGAUCAGCACAGGAAGUCCAACCUGGAACCAUUUUGAUUCCUAAACUGACCAAAUCUUUUCUCUGCAAGGUCAAAAUGGAAAAGCCUCCCCAUUGUCUUUUCCUUCACAAAUCCUGUCUUAGGGAUAUGUCUGUGUUUGAAUAGGGUGUGAGCCUGUGACCUGGCCCAGGAACUAAGUAUUUAUCAUUACAAAAGACUAGCCAGGCUACCCAGGAAAUCCAAUCAAGUAACCUGCCAGACAGGAGAUAAACAACAACAGGAGAAAAACAAUAUUAAAAUUUCUGUUUUAGACCGCCUUUUCUGUGAUGUAGGUGUGAUGUAUCUGAGGGGUGGUCUUAGGUUACACCCCUUCUGUGAUGUAUGUAUGAUGUUUCUGGGGGUGGUCUUGAUCUACAGGGCUGCAAUUUCAAAAGUCUUUAUAAGGCCUUGCCCGCCAUUGUUCUGGGUUCCUCCUCUUUUCCUGCGUGUGAGGGGAGCACCCUGUUGCAACAGAUCAAUAAAAGAUCAAGCUUACUAGCUGCUUUGCUUCUCAAUAUUCUCUGGUUGGCCUCCGUUAUUUUCUCCUACCAAUAGGGAACCUAUGUAAGGACUCUAUAUGGGCUCUUGGAUACCCCAUAAGGGAAAAGGGCAAUUUUUGUUUACAACAGGACCAACAUGGAUAGCUGGCCCUGAGGAAUACUUGAGGUUCCCGACCCCCUAUGGUUGUAAUUCGUAGGCAGUCAUUUAAUUUUAUGCUGAUUCUAAUUUUUAUCAAUUGUUUGAUUGUGUUUUAAUGUAUUUGAUGUUAGCUGCCCUGAGCCCGGUCUUGGCCGGGGAGGGCGGGGUAUAAAUAAAAAUAUAUUUACUUACUUACCUACAAAAAGCUCCACUUCCAUAGAAGCAGCAGCAAGUAUUGUUCUAACAUUCUAUCAUGUUCAAACAUGUUUGUCAGGGGCACUUCCUGGUCUGGCUAUUGACAAAAUAGCUCUCUGAGCCUGUUAAGAAGCUUUGCCCUUUAUUACUAAAGGAACUAUUGUUUGUGGUCCAAAAUUAAUAUUACUGAAUAUGUCGAUGGUGCCAGUGCAGGUGUAUUGCCAAAGGAAUUGGUCCUAUAUAUCAGGGCAGCCCAACUUUUCGUACCAAGUGGGUUGCAAGAGUACUUUGACAUGGAAUCUGCACAUUGCCUUGUCACAUGCUGGGAGGGAGCGAGGCCAAAAUUUGACACACACCCCUGCCCUCCUGCUACCUUCCCAAAGCUGGGAAUGCCCUAACUAGGCUUUGGGAAGGUGUGAGGGCCGGGGGCAGCCCAUCAAAUGUUCCUGAGGGCCGCCAAAAAAGGCCUUGGGCUGUGCGUUGGACCACCCUGUUGUAUAUUAUUUUAACAGCAAGAAUUAUAAUUGUAACUUGGUACCCCUCACUCUGGAAUAUAACUGCAAUGGAGAAAAUUACACAUAAUUUGAGAUUUCAACAAGGACUGGAACCUUCAGAUACUUUAUACGAUUUGGAAUUAUUUUAUGACAUAUACAGCGGAGCCAUCAUUUUCAAGACAACCCCCAUUACAAGCCUAGAAAAUCUGGAACUGUACUUGAAGAUCUGAUAAAGCUGAUUAACUUUGUUGUUGUUUAGUUGUGUCCGACUCUUCGUGACCCCAUGGACCAGAGCACGCCAGGCACUCCUGUCUUCCAUUGCCUCCCGCAGUUUGGUCAGAUUCAUGUUUGUAGCUUCGAGAACACUGUCCAACCAUCUUGUCCUCUGUCGUCCCCUUCUCCUUGUGCCCUCCAUCUUUCCCAACAUCAGGGUCUUUUCCAGGGAGUCUUCUCUUCUCAUGAGGUGGCCAAAGUAUUGGAGCCUCAGCUUCAGGAUCUGUCCUUCCAGUGAGCACUCAGGGCUGAUUUCCUUCAGAAUGGAUAGGUUUGAUCUUCUUGCAGUCCAUGGGACUCUCAAGAGUCUCCUCCAGCACCAUAAUUCAAAAGCAUCAAUUCUUCGGCGAUCAGCCUUCUUUAUGGUCCAGCUCUCACUUCCAUACAUCACUACUGGGAAAACCAUAGCUUUAACUAUAUGGACCUUUGUUGGCAAGGUGAUGUCUCUGCUUUUUAAGAUGAUUAACUUUACUUGGACUUUAUUUUAACUUAUGUGCAGCUACUCAUUCUAUGUGCCUCUUUUGUAGUUUUGUUUCUCAUCUUCCAAUUUUCUCCUGAUGCUAUAAUUGUCCUCUUUAAAAUCUUUACAAAAAGAGUCAGAUUUGACCUUAGGAAUGGCGAGGAGACCACCUUUCACACGAACAGAUAAUUUAUAAGCUUUUACUCCAUCUUCAGGAACGGCAUGUUUACCUGUUUCCUAUGGAAUAAAUUGCAGGCUUUCAUGAACUCUAUCCGCCUCCAUCUCAAAGAGAAGAAGAAACCUGAGCUGCUUUUUGAAAUAACAAUUUUCUUUUAAGGACCUGUCAUGGUUUUCUGAUGAAUUGUGAACGUUUUGACAGGGGGAGGGGAAGCUGCGUAUAACAGGAAAUCAGAAUCAUGAGUCACUUGCAAAUAUUUAUUACCUGCCUAUUUGUAAGAUCUGAAUUGACUUUUGCGGAACUCUCGUUUCUAGGAUAGGUGUGGAGUGGGGGAAAUUCCUGCUUCAAAGGUCAAAGCCAGGACUCUGAACUGAGGCCAGAAACUAACUGGUAGCCAGCGCAGUUGUGCCAGAAUUGGCCUAAUAUGUUCAGACUUUCUGGUCCCAGUCAAUAAUCUGCCCACUGAGUUCUGCACCAACUGUAGAGGGAUUCAAGUUACAAGAAAGGGGAUUCUGGCUAAAUAUCAGGAAGAACUUUCUUGACAGUGGAAUGGGAGGUUGUGGACCUUCACCGGAGGCUUCUAAGUAGAGUCUGGAUGGUAAUCUGUCAUGGAUGCUUUAGCUAAGAUUCCUGCAUUGCAGGAGCUUGGACUAGGUGACUCUCAAGGUCCCUUCCAGACAGUGUUAGAAAUUAUUCAGGAGCCAGGAGCAUUUUGCUACUAACAUGGGUUCAAUUGUGGAGAUCUCUGGAUGCCAGAUUGGCUUUGACAUUGGUUCCUGCCAUGUCAGAUGGGGACUUCCCAAGCGCCAUCUGAAAACCAGUUGGAUCCAUCAGCCUCCUUGGGCGGACCAUUCUAAUAGAUCCCCCACCUCUGUAGAAAGCCACUGAAAAUCUAAAACUCAUCAGAAGAGGACCCAACCAUGAAAGAUGCAGCCCUACCCAUUUACAGAGGAAGGGCUGGGGGGGAAAACCCUAAGAUGGCAAAGUUAACGUGCUUAGAGAAAAAUCAAAAUUGUCAACAUUUAUUCAGAACGGGAAACUUCUUACAGACUUCUUGCAUGAAAGAGAAAACAAACUUGUAAUGUUGGGACAUGGAGAUUGAAAAGAAUACUGGUUUACAGAAGAUGGUUGGAUUUUAUGAGUGAAUACUAUAUUUAGCUGCAGGACAGAGAACCGGAAGUCAUUUUAUCUUUCUUUAAUCUCUCUCUCCUCUUCUUUUGCUUUCUCUCUCGCUUUUAUUUUCGUUCUUUCUGCCUUUAUUCUUUUUUAGAUUAAGAAGCUGUUUUGUUUCAGUGUAUUAUGUAAAGAUACCUUGCCAUGGGUAUGAACCUUUCUAUAUUUUUUAAUAAGUCUAUCCAUAUCUAUAUCUAUCUAUCAUCUAUCUAUCUAUCUAUCUAUCUAUCUAUCUAUCUAUCAUCAGCAUCUAAUCUCUAUCAUCUAUCCUCUCUCUAUCUCUCUCUCUCUCCCUCUCUCUCAUCUAUCAAAAAAGAGAAGGAUUCAACCAAGACAAGACAUUGAUGUUACAAAUUCCCCACUCUGAGAUCACCCUCUUUCUGCCCUGUUGAGAAGACCAGAUCAGAGUGUGACCCGCCACAUGCAUUGGGCAGAUGACAUGUUAGGAGGGCCCCAUGGUUGUCACAGCAGUGAUAAAGUUCAGCACCACCCCAGACUUAGUGACCACAAUAUGAAUGUUGAGCCAUUAAAGGGGAUUAAGGGACUUGGUGCAAGACGGCAAAUGGGUGGGGGGCCCUCCCUCCACAGACAAAGCCAGAGUUUGGAGUAAUAAUAAUAAUAAUUUAUUUAUACCCUGCCCAUCCGGCUGGGUUUCCCCAGCCACUCUGGGCGGCUUCCAAAAGAAUAUUAAAAACACAAUAAAACAUCAAACAUUAAAAGCUUCCCUAAACAGGGCUGCCUUUAGAUGUUUUCUAAAAGUCAGAUACAGUGGUACCUUGGGUUAAGAACUUAAUUCGUUCCGGAGGUCCGUUCUUAACCUGAAACUGUUCUUAAGCUGAGGUACCACUUUAGCUAAUGGGGCCUCCUGCUGCCGCCGCGCCACCAGAGCACGAUUUCUGUUCUCAUCCUGAAGCAAAGUUCUUAACCUGAGGUACUAUUUCUGGGUUAGCGGAGUCUGUCACCUGAAGCAUCUGUAACCUGAAGUGCCUGUAACCUGAGGUACCACUGUAGUUGUUUAUUUCCUUUUUGACAUCUGAUGGGAGGGCGUUCCACAGUACAGGCGCGACUACCGAGAAGGUCCUCUGCCUGGUUCCCUGUAAUUUGGCUUCUCAUAGUGAGGGAACCACCAGAAGGCCCUUGGAGCUGGACCUCAGUGUCCAGGCAGAACGAUGGGAGUGGAGAUGCUCCUUCAGGUGUAGAGUUUUGGGGAGUGUUGUGAAUUGAUAUUUGUUCUUCUGAUUCAGCAGUAAACUGCGGGUUUUCCCAAGUGGUGGGACAAAAUAAAAACCUCUCAGACCUGUGCCUAGAAAUAACAGAAUAAACAGAAGUGUGGUUGAGCCCAUUCUCUGGAAUUCUUAGAAAAAUCUGAUUAGGCGCAUGUUUCAUUGGCCUCACAAAAUAAAUCACUAUCUCUCUUUUUUAAAAAAUAAUUUUUUAUUCAAAAUUAAGACGAAACAUAUUAUCCAGAAAAAUAUCAUCCUUAUUCCCCCUCCAUUUUUCCUCCCUCCCCCCACAGAAUCCCCCCACCCCCCAACUUCCCUCAGUUCCAGUCUUUGAUUUCUCUAAAAAUGCUGUUUUCUGCAUGUAACACAGUUGUAUAGAUCCUCAAACUAUUUAGCUGAUUAUUAUCAAUAAAAAGUUUGUGAAUGUUUAUUCAAAACCAGCCAAGGAGUCCAGUUCGCUUUGUUGCGUCUUCAAAUACUUUGUAAAGGGUUCCUAUUCAUCUUUAAAGUCACAGUUAUCCUUGUCCCUUAGUUUGUCAGUUUUGCCAGUUCUGCAUAGUCCAUCAAUUUUUCUUGCCAUGAUUCUUUAGUUGGGGUUUCUUCAGUCUUCCAUCCUUGUGCUACCAGAACUCUUGCGGCCGUUGUCGCAUACAUGAAGAUGUUUUUCAACUUUUUUGGCAGGUCUUUCCCUACAAUCCCUCACAAAAUGUUUAACAAAUGUUAAAUGGAACAUUUUCUUCAAUUCGUUGUAUAUCAUUUCCCAAUUUUUUUUAAUUACCUUACAAUCCCACCACAUAUGAUAAAAUGUCCCCUCCUUUUCAAAAGAAUUCACUCUCUACCCUGAAACAACAUGUGUCAUCCACCCAGCGGAUGCCCGCCUUUGCUGCGUAGCUAAUGAAACGAUUCCAAUUUUUAAAAGGACGCACAGACUACAAAGGUGUUCACCUACGGAAGUUGCAUCAAAAUGGAUUGGUUAAGAGCCCUUUAGUGCUCUUCAGACUCAGCCGCCAGACGUUUCAACAGAGCUUGUGUAGAAGGAAGUUUAAGUGGAUUGUGCUGUGGGGUUUCCUUGUGUUCUUUGUAUGAUUUAAUGUGGCUGACAAAACUCGUUUUCUCAAGAGUUGGCCAAGGAAUGUGAAACUGAGAUACUAACAAUCUUGCUCUCUAGCUUUGGACAAAUGCAAGUUCCCUAGCCCCGCAAAAAAAAACACACAAAAAAACCACUUUGGGAAUUUUGUGGGGAAAUUACCCAAACGCUUCUGGAGAACUAGAAAUCUGUUUAGGAAGUUUAUGACUGUGUGAGAAGCAUACGUAUUUGAGGAAUUCUUCUAAGCAUUAAUCACGAAUUUGUUGAAGCAACUGAACUGAAACAUCAGUUAAUAUGUUAACCACUGCAGCUUCAAGCGGAUUUAUAGAGUUAGCAGAAGCAAAACUCCAUUCUUAGGGUAAAUUUGUAGCUAUUACCUCCUUGGUUAUCAAGGACUUAGAAAAGAUUGUGAUCGGGUUCUUUUUUUAUAAUCUUCUAGCAGCCAUUAAGGGUGCCCAGUUGUGUCCCAGAGGUUCAACCCCAAGUUAUCAUUUAGGCUACUGAACUGAAAAGUCAAUUAAUGUGUUACAAGUGCAGCUUCCAAGGAAUUGGUUGCUGUUUCAUUAUUUAGCAAUAUGCUUGUUACUUACUAGAACAAAAGACCUCUAAGGGGUUUACAGCAGGCAGCCUAAAUUACUCAUUAGAAACACCAACAAAAGCAUUAAAAACAAAUUACUUUAUCUAUCUAUCUAUCUAUCAAUCUAUCUAUCAUCUAUCUAUUGUGUGUUUGUUUGUUUGUUUGUUUGUUUGUUUGUUUGUUUGUGUGUGUGUCUGUAAUUUUAAAAUGAUGGGGAAUAAAUUGGUAGAUAAUAUUUAAUCCUAGAUCCCUAUGCGAUGUAUGGAAGUGAGAGCUGGACCAUAAACAAGGCUGAUCGCAGAAGAAUUGAUGCUUUUGAAUUGUGGUGCUGGAGGAGACUCUUGAGAGUCCCAUGGACUGCAAGAAGAUCAAACCUAUCCAUUCUGAAGGAAAUCAGCCCUGAGUGCUCACUGGAAGGACAGAUCCUGAAGCUGAGGCUCCAAUACUUUGGCCACCUCAUGAGAAGAGAAGACUCCCUGGAAAAGACCCUGAUGUUGGGAAAGAUGGAGGGCACAAGGAGAAGGGGACGACAGAGGACGAGAUGGUUGGAUAGUGUUCUUGAAGCUACCAGCAUGAGUUUGACCAAACUGCGGGAGGCAGUGGAAGACAGGAGGGCCUGGUGUGCUCUGGUCCAUGGGGUCACAAAGAGUCGAAUACAACUAAACGACUAAACAACAACAACAACAGAUCCCUAUGUGUGUAGGUGAAGAAACAAAGGAAUACAGCUUCCCGCUUGUAUUCAAAGCACAGGCCUGAACAGACUCUCCAGCCGGAGAUUUUCACGAGGAGUUUUAUUGCAAAGUGAUGUGGAAGAGUGGGGAAGUGAAUUUAAGAUUGGAAAAACGAGAAACUGAUAGAAAUUAACAUACCUGUUCUUCCCUGUUCCUUAGAGCCUGGAGCAGCAUUCUACUGGAGGACAACAGCAUGGAUGGAACUGUGAACAGGCCCAUUCCUGCUUGGAAGUGAGGAGGCU
rnacentral:lncRNA from 1 species